UGGGGAAUUUUGCACAAUGGGGGAAACCCUGAUGCAGCGACGCCGCGUGAUUUAGAAGGCCUUCGGGUUGUAAAAAUCUUUUCUAUGGGAAGAAAAUGACAGUACCAUAGGAAUAAGGACCGGCUAAUUACGUGCCAGCAGCCGCGGUAAUACGUAAGGUCCGAGCGUUGUCCGGAAUCAUUGGGCGUAAAGGGUACGUAGGCGGGUAGGCAAGUUAGAAGUGAAAUCCUAUAGCUCAACUAUAGUAAGCUUUUAAAACUGCUCAUCUUGAGGUAUGGAAGGGAAAGUGGAAUUCCUAGUGUAGCGGUGAAAUGCGCAGAUAUUAGGAGGAAUACCGGUGGCGAAGGCGACUUUCUGGCCAUAACCUGACGCUGAGGUACGAAAGCGUGGGUAGCAAACAGG
rnacentral:rRNA from 1 species